GUACAUGCAUGUGUGCAUGUACAUGUAUCAUGUAUGCACAUAUGUGUGCACAUUUUUGCAUACUCCAUGCACACACACA
rnacentral:miRNA from 1 species